GUCGGGAGAAGCAGCCUAUAAACAGCGAAUUGGGGCUGUUCCCUCCUCAGCAAAUCCUGGUAAACCAGUAAUCCACUCCGAGGCUGCACUUCCCACAUCUGCACAGAAGGCACUCCGUAACGACAUGCUUCUCAGACUGCAGCGUGCACAGCCCCAAUUCUGUGCAGAGAGGAUGCAAAACAGCAGAACACCUGUGGUACAACUUUCUGGACCAUUACUUUUACAAUAAGAUUUGGAAGAACUGAAGUUAAGUAACUUACAAGGCCGUAAACCUGGACAUCAAUGUGCCUUGGA